ACAUGCCUACAACAUAGUGCUAAUGCAUUGGAUUCCAUUAGAACUUUGUAGUUAAGUGCACUUAGGAUAGAAUAGUACUGGGAUGGGUGACCAGUUAUACUUGGGUAUUUU
rnacentral:rRNA from 1 species